rnacentral:ncRNA from 1 species
UACUUUUUAGAGAUUAGAUCCGUUCAGAAUGAAGACAUUUUUGCACAAUUGGUCAUUACGCUUGGUUGAUAAGCCAGUGGUGCGAAGCUACCAUGCGCUGGAUUAUGACUGAAUGCCUCUAAGUCAGAAUUUGGGCUACAUUUGAUGCAUGUGCCCGCCAUCCGCUUGCCGACCCAAAGUAGGGGCCUUUGGCCCUCAAGGGCACAUGCGUUUGCUAAGUCAUCGUGGAGGAAGAGCCGUGGUAGCCGCCUUGAAGUACAAUUUCAAUCGAGAGGCGGGUAGAAUCCUUUGCAGACAACUUAAAUACGCGACAGGGUAUUGUAAGUGGCAGAGUAGCCUUGCUGCCACGAUCCACUGAGAUUCAGACCUUUGUCGCUCUGAUUC